rnacentral:rRNA from 1 species
AAUAGAUACCCGGGUAGUCCACGCCGUAAACGAUGAGUGCUAAGUGUUAGAGGGUUUCCGCCCUUUAGUGCUGAAGUUAACGCAUUAAGCACUCCGCCUGGGGAGUACGACCGCAAGGUUGAAACUCAAAGGAAUUGACGGGGGCCCGCACAAGCGGUGGAGCAUGUGGUUUAAUUCGAAGCAACGCGAAGAACCUUACCAGGUCUUGACAUCCUCUGACAACCCUAGAGAUAGGGCUUUCCCUUCGGGGACAGAGUGACAGGUGGUGCAUGGUUGUCGUCAGCUCGUGUCGUGAGAUGUUGGGUUAAGUCCCGCAACGAGCGCAACCCUUGAUCUUAGUUGCCAGCAUUUAGUUGGGCACUCUAAGGUGACUGCCGGUGACAAACCGGAGGAAGGUGGGGAUGACGUCAAAUCAUCAUGCCCCUUAUGACCUGGGCUACACACGUGCUACAAUGGACGGUACAAAGGGUCGCGAAGCCGCGAGGUGGAGCUAAUCCCAAAAAACCCGUUCUCAGUUCGGAUUGUAGGCUGCAACCUCGCCUACAUGAAC